CGCACAUUGCGCCCUUUGGUAUUCCGAAGGGCAUGCCUGUUCGAGCGUCAUUAUCACCCCUCGAGCCCUGUGCUUGGUGUUGGACGGCCGGUCGAGCGAUCGACCCCUCCUAAAGACAAUGACGGCGGCCUGUGGCUCCCCCGGUACACUGAGCUUUUAACUGAGCACGUAUCGGACAAGGGUGCCCAGGACCCGGUCCUCUCCUUUAAUUAGGAAACUUCUAAAGGUUGACCUCGGAUCAGGUAGGAAUACGCGCUGAACUUAA
rnacentral:misc_RNA from 1 species